rnacentral:RNase_P_RNA from 1 species
AGAGUUGACCAGGCAAUCGCUAUUGCCCUGCUUAUGGCAGCGGCGGUAGAGGAAAGUCCGGGCUCCAUAGGGCAGAGUGCCAGGUAACGCCUGGGAGGCGUGAGCCUACGGAAAGUGCAGCAGAGAAUAGACCGCCAAAGUCCUGGUUCGCCAGUUCAAUGGUAAGGGUGAAAAGGUGCGGUAAGAGCGCACCGCGCGACCGGUAACGGUUCGUGGCAGUGUAAACCCCACUCGGAGCAAGACCAAAUAGGAAUCCAUCGUUGCGGCCCGCAAUUGGAUUCGGGUAGGUCGCUAAAGAUGCAUGGCGACAUGUAUCGUAGAUGAAUGAUUGUCCUCGACAGAACCCGGCUUACGGUCAACUCUCUAC